rnacentral:rRNA from 1 species
UACGUAGGGCCUAGCGUUGUCCGGAAUUAUUGGGCGUAAAGAGCUCGUAGGCGGCGUGUCGCGUCGGAUGUGAAAGCCCGGGGCUUAACCUCGGGUCUGCAUUCGGUACGGGCAUGCUGGAGUUCGGUAGGGGAGACUGGAAUUCCUGGUGUAGCGGUGAAAUGCGCAGAUAUCAGGAGGAACACCGGUGGCGAAGGCGGGUCUCUGGGCCGAUACUGACGCUGAGGAGCGAAAGCGUGGGGAGCGAACAGG